GACGAACGCUGGCGGCGUGCCUAAUACAUGCAAGUCGAGCGAACAGACGCUGAUCUUGCUCCUCUGACGUUAGCGGCGGACGGGUGAGUAACACGUGUAUAACCUACCUAUAAUACGGGUAUAACUUCGGGAAACCGGAGAUAAUACCGGAUAAUAUAUUGAACCGCGUGGUUGGAUGGUGAAAUUCGGUUUUGCUGUCACUUAUAGCUGGAUCCGCGCCUUAUUGGCUGGUUGGUACGUUAACAGGUUAGCAAGGGAACGAUGCGUAUACGACCUGAGAGGGUGGUCGCCCACACGGGAGCGGAGACACGGUCAAGAGUCCUGAGGGAGGGACCAGUAGGGUACGGUCCGCAGUGGGGGAAAGCCUGACGGAGUGGCGCCGCGUGAGUGAUAACGGUCUUCGGAUCGUAAAAAUCUGUUAUUAGGGGAGAACCAAUGUGUAAGUAACUAUGGCCGUAUUGACGGUAACUGGUAAGAAAGCCACGGCUAACUACGUG
rnacentral:rRNA from 1 species